rnacentral:rRNA from 1 species
AUUGAACGCUGGCGGCAGGCCUAACACAUGCAAGUCGAGCGGAUGAAGGGAGCUUGCUCCUGGAUUCAGCGGCGGACGGGUGAGUAAUGCCUAGGAAUCUGCCUGGUAGUGGGGGAUAACGUCCGGAAACGGGCGCUAAUACCGCAUACGUCCUGAGGGAGAAAGUGGGGGAUCUUCGGACCUCACGCUAUCAGAUGAGCAUAGGUCGGAUUAGCUAGUUGGUGGGGUAAAGGCCUACCAAGGCGACGAUCCGUAACUGGUCUGAGAGGAUGAUCAGCCACACGGGAACUGAGACACGGCCCAGACUCCUACGGGAGGCAGCAGUGGGGAAUAUUGGAGAAGGGGCGAAAGGCUGAUCCAGGCAAGCCGCGUGUGUGAAGAAGGUCUUAGGAUGGGAAAGCAAUUUAAGUUGGGAGGAAGGGCAGUAAGUUAAUACCGUGCUGUUUUGACGUUACCAACAGAAUAAGCACCGGCUAACUUCGUG